AGGUGGAGCAGAGUUCACUGUCCUGGGCACUGUGGCUGGAGCUGGGUGUUCUCUGAAAGGAACCACGUUGGUUUGGUGACAGAAAGGAGUGGGUGUUAACCAUCACCAGAGCUGGAUCAGCACAGAAACAUGGAUCUGCUGUGCCGGUGCUGCAAUCCCGCAGCUGAAGAGGGAAAGCUGCCUUGUGAUGGUGGAGGGGCUUUUUCCUGUCAGAGGAACUCGUUUCUUCUGCCGUGAGCGAGGAUCUCCGGAGAGAAAGCAAGCUGAAAACGUCUUUGAGCAGCCUCUUCUGUUCUGCCCUCCUGGUGCCGCUUGAAAAUGAGAAGAAAAGGGGUGGGGGGGUGGAAGAUUAAAAAAAUAAUAAAGAAAAGAGAAAUAACUUCAAAAAGGAAGACUCUUCCAGAGCCCAAACAAUCAGUGGGACAAUAGGAGAACAGGGACAAUGAGGAUUGCAGCUCUGCUCCCGCCGGACGGGAAGCCCUCGGCGCUGUGCUCUGGGCUGGCCUGGGUGAUGAGCUGAAAAGCUCCCUGCCCACGCUGCACACAAAGCCUGGCCACAGGGCAGAGGUGGAAGCAGCUGGGAGCCGGGUUUGGGAUGUGUUCCACGCCGGGAUCGUGUGGCACUGCCCCGGCACGGGUGACACCGGGGCAGCAGGCCGGCCUGACCCCGGCCCGGCCCGCCCGGCCCUCGCGGCCUGUGCUGAGCCUCAGUUCAACAAACCCCACCGGCAGCUUCAGAAAAACCCCUCACACCUGGCAGUGUCAUCUCUGACCUCCUUCUGUUUGCUACCAAAACACAACGUGGGACAGUCAAGGAUCGUUAGCUGACGAGGCAAAACCGCCCCUUCCCUUGCUCUUUUAUUUCUAUUUCUAUUUCUCCCGUGGGUAUUCCCUGCUUGGGAGGCGGCGGCUGCUCGUGAUCCUUCCUGUGGCCAGGACAGGCUUCUGUGAGAGCUUGGGAACAAAUGAUAACAGAAUUGCCUGCGGAUUCCUCAUGCCAUAACUCCUUCCCUGCCCAGAGAGCCCCUCAGAACCUCUGGGGUCAGGGUAAUGCUGUCAGCCCAUCUCUUCCCACAUUUUUGGCGAGGAGGAAGGAUUUGCAGGCACCAGGGUCCAGGAGAAAUCCAUUAGCAGCCCUCAGUGAACCUCCUGAGGGUCCCUGUGCUGCACGGGCCAGGGGCCUUUGGAUUCUGGAAAAGGGCAUUUUCCUCAGCAGGGAAGAAAAAAGAUGGAUCUGUAUCUCUGCAUUUUUUUUUCUAGGCAAGCUAAAGAAAAGUUGAUAGAAAAAAAUGUAUGCUUUAAAACCUAAAGAAUCAAGGGUCCAUUUGUUGGAUUUUCUUUUGAGUUUUGAGCUUUCUGGGGCCUUUUUAUCAUUAUUUUAUUUGGUGGUUGGAUUUAUUUUUCUUUAUUUUUUAAAUUUUUUUUAUUCUUUUUUCUGUUUUUGCAUUAGAAAUAGCGUCAGUUGUCAAACAAGACUCCAGAUUGAUUUGGUUUUUUUUAUGUCUAGCUUUCAACAUCCUCAAAGGCAUCUAAUUGUUCAGGACAUACUGAGUAUCUGCACUUACAGAAAUCAAGCCUUGAGUGGAAGUCCCCUGAAAGCCAGGCACCGGGAAGCCAAGAUUAGUUUUCAGAAAGAAAUACAAUAGACCGAGCGAGUGCCCAGAAGAGGAACAGCAUGUUAACAUAUCUUAGAUAAACAGGAGCCAAGUUGUUACCCUGACAGAAAAAUGAGAGCCCAUCAAUGCAAUGGGGGAGAGUAAUAAAUUAAAAACCAGAUGGUUCGAAGAUGUGAUUGCGUCUUCAGCUUCAGCAGGAAGAAAGAAGGGGAAUACAUAUGUAUUGCAGGCAGGCCAGGAACACAAAAGCUUGGAAAAAAUACAAGAACAGGA